rnacentral:lncRNA from 1 species
AGCUACACCCGGCCCAAUUGUAUUCCUUAUGGAUGGCUUGAAUCUUGGCCCGUUUACCCCUUUAAUGGCCCAACUUAAAGUCUAACCCUAGAGUAUAUAUAUGAAUAUAACCCUAGCCUCUUUGUGAUGAUGAUUGUGUGAUUUUGAGAGAAGAAACUAGUGAAUCCCGGCUGCCCCCCUUUUGUGUGAGAAAAAGGUGUCCAGAAGUGUCCAGAACGCUUGUAUAACGUGUGCAAUUGGUAGUUCUUUCAUAGUAUACCUUUGUGGUGUCUUCUCCUAGCCUUUGUGGCCAUAAAUCAUCAUCC